rnacentral:piRNA from 1 species
UCAAAUCAUGGUGUCAGGACUCCUC